rnacentral:rRNA from 1 species
AGAGUUUGAUCCUGGCUCAGGAUGAACGCUGGCGGCGUGCUUAACACAUGCAAGUCGAACGAUGACUUCUGUGCUUGCACAGAAUGAUUAGUGGCGAACGGGUGAGUAACACGUGAGUAACCUGCCCUUGACUUCGGGAUAAGCCUGGGAAACCGGGUCUAAUACCGGAUACGACCUCCUGGCGCAUGCCAUGGGGGUGGAAAGCUUUAUUGCGGUUUUGGAUGGACUCGCGGCCUAUCAGCUUGUUGGUUGGGGUAAUGGCCCACCAAGGCGACGACGGGUAGCCGGCCUGAGAGGGUGACCGGCCACACUGGGACUGAGACACGGCCCAGACUCCUACGGGAGGCAGCAGUGGGGAAUAUUGCACAAUGGGCGAAAGCCUGAUGCAGCGACGCCGCGUGAGGGAUGACGGCCUUCGGGUUGUAAACCUCUUUCAGCAGGGAAGAAGCGAAAGUGACGGUACCUGCAGAAGAAGCGCCGGCUAACUACGUGCCAGCAGCCGCGGUAAUACGUAGGGCGCAAGCGUUAUCCGGAAUUAUUGGGCGUAAAGAGCUCGUAGGCGGUUUGUCGCGUCUGCUGUGAAAGCCCGGGGCUCAACCCCGGGUCUGCAGUGGGUACGGGCAGACUAGAGUGAUGUAGGGGAGACUGGAAUUCCUGGUGUAGCGGUGAAAUGCGCAGAUAUCAGGAGGAACACCGAUGGCGAAGGCGACUUUCUGGUCUGUAACUGACACUGAGGCGCGAAAGCGUGGGGAGCAAACAGGAUUAGAUACCCUGGUAGUCCACGCCGUAAACGAUGAGUGCUAAGUGUUAGGGGGGUUUCCGCCCCUUAGUGCUGCAGCUAACGCAUUAAGCACUCCGCCUGGGGAGUCCGGUCGCAAAGACUGAAACUCAAAGGAAUUGACGGGGGCCCGCACAAGCGGUGGAGCAUGUGGUUUAAUUGGAAGCAACGGAAAGAACCUUACCAGGUCUUGACAUCCCAUUGACCGCUAUGGAGACAUAGCUUUCCCUUCGGGGACAGUGGUGACAGGUGGUGCAUGGUUGUCGUCAGCUCGUGUCGUGAGAUGUUGGGUUAAAUCCCGCAACGAGCGCAACCCUUGUUCUUAGUUGCCAUCAUUUAGUUGGGCACUCUAAGGAGACUGCCGGUGACAAACCGGAGGAAGGUGGGGAUGACGUCAAAUCAUCAUGCCCCUUAUGACCUGGGCUACACACGUGCUACAAUGGACGGUACAAACGGUUGCCAACCCGCGAGGGGGAGCUAAUCCGAUAAAACCGUUCUCAGUUCGGAUAAUAGGCUGCAACUCGCCUACAUGAAGCCGGAAUCGCUAGUAAUCGCGGAUCAGCAUGCCGCGGUGAAUACGAAACCGGGCCUUGCACACCCCGCCCGUCA